CGGGGUGAGUAAUGUCUGGGAAACUGCCUGAUGGAGGGGGAUAACUACUGGAAACGGUAGCUAAUACCGCAUAAUGUCUGCGGACCAAAGCGGGGGACCUUCGGGCCUCUUGCCAUCGGAUGUGCCCAGAUGGGAUUAGCUAGUAGGUGGGGUAACGGCUCACCUAGGCGACGAUCCCUAGCUGGUCUGAGAGGAUGACCAGCCACACUGGAACUGAGACACGGUCCAG
rnacentral:rRNA from 1 species